rnacentral:rRNA from 1 species
ACACAUGCAAGUCGAGGGGCAACAUGGUAUCAGCUUGCUGAUACCGAUGGCGACCGGCGCACGGGUGAGUAACGCGUAUGUAAUCUACCUGUAACAGAGGGAUAACCCGGAGAAAUCCGGACUAAUACCUCAUAGCACAUAUUAUUCGCAUGAAUUUUAUGUUAAGGAGACUCGGUUACAGAUGAACAUGCGUUCCAUUAGCUGGUUGGCGGGGUCACGGCCCACCAAGGCAACGAUGGAUAGGGGUUCUGAGAGGAAGGUCCCCCACACUGGUACUGAGACACGGACCAGACUCCUACGGGAGGCAGCAGUGAGGAAUAUUGGUCAAUGGGCGAAAGCCUGAACCAGCCAAGUCGCGUGGAGGAAGACGGCCCUACGGGUUGUAAACUCCUUUUACCUGGGAAUAACGGGCGCUACGCGUAGCGCUGUGCAAGUACCGGGCGAAUAAGCAUCGGCUAAUUCCGUGCCAGCAGCCGCGGUAAUACGGAAGAUGCGAGCGUUAUCCGGAUUUAUUGGGUUUAAAGGGUGCGUAGGCGGAAGAAUAAGUCAGCGGUGAAAUGCUUCAGCUCAACUGGAGAAUUGCCGAUGAAACUGUUUUUCUAGAGUAUAAAAGAGGUAUGCGGAAUGCGUGGUGUAGCGGUGAAAUGCAUAGAUAUCACGCAGAACCCCGAUUGCGAAGGCAGCAUACUGGGCUAUAACUGACGCUGAAGCACGAAAGCGUGGGUAUCGAACAGGAUUAGAUACCCUGGUAGUCCACGCCGUAAACGAUGAAUACUAACUGUUUGCGAUAUAAUGUAAGCGGUACAGCGAA